UACAUCUAAUGCACCAUUGAGAUGCCUCCAGUGCAUUCCAGGGCGCCUUCGCUUAAAUCUAUGCAUAGGCGCCUCCAUUGGGUCCAGGAUGCCUCCAAGUGUUGCUUUGAGACGCUAGCUUCCGCGCAUCUCGGAGGUUGGUCGAGUUUGCUCCACAUUGCUAAAAAUAUCAGCCUGGGCCGCCUGCUGAGUUCUAGUUCAUCGGCGUUUUCGUUAGUGUUUUAUGAUGAGACGUUCAUAAUCAUGUCAGUAAGUACUUUUACUUGGCAAAAUACAAGCCGAUAAUGACCAAUUAUGAGCUGAAAAACUAAAGCGUAGCAGCGAGUUAACAAUGACUAAUGAUAUAAGUUGAAGGAAUAAAGUGCAGAGAGAAUUUGUUGUAUUAUUUUGUUUUAAAAAAUUAAUUAAUUACUUUUAUUAAAAAGUGUAGUAUAUUAUUUGUAUGCCAUUAUUUUCAUAUAGGAAUAUAUUUUUACAUUUUCAGUUGCA